GAUGAACGCUGGCGGCGUGCCUAAUACAUGCAAGUCGAGCGAACGGACGAGAAGCUUGCUUCUCUGAUGUUAGCGGCGGACGGGUGAGUAACACGUGGAUAACCUACCUAUAAGACUGGGAUAACUUCGGGAAACCGGAGCUAAUACCGGAUGAUAUUUUGAACCGCAUGGUUCAAAAGUGAAAGACGGUCUUGCUGUCACUUAUAGAUGGAUCCGCGCUGCAUUAGCUAGUUGGUAAGGUAACGGCUUACCAAGGCAACGAUGCAUAGCCGACCUGAGAGGGUGAUCGGCCACACUGGAACUGAGACACGGUCCAGACUCCUACGGGAGGCAGCAGUAGGGAAUCUUCCGCAAUGGGCGAAAGCCUGACGGAGCAACGCCGCGUGAGUGAUGAAGGUCUUCGGAUCGUAAAACUCUGUUAUUAGGGAAGAACAUAUGUGUAAGUAACUGUGCACAUCUUGACGGCACCUAAUCAGAAAGCCACGGCUAACUACGUG
rnacentral:rRNA from 1 species